rnacentral:rRNA from 1 species
AACUAACAAGGAUUCCCCUAGUAACGGCGAGUGAAGCGGGAUGAGCUCAAAUUUGUAAUCUGGUGGACUCAGUUCAUCCGAGUUGUAAUCUAUAGAAAAGUUUUCCGCGCCGGACCGUGUCUAAGUCCCUUGGAACAGGGUGUCAGAGAGGGUGAGAAUCCCGUGCUUGAUACGACCACCGGUGCUAUGUGAUACUUUUUCAACGAGUCGAGUUGUUUGGGAAUGCAGCUCAAAAUGGGUGGUAAAUUCCAUCUAAAGCUAAAUAUUGGCGAGAGACCGAUAGCGAACAAGUACCGUGAGGGAAAGAUGAAAAGCACUUUGGAAAGAGAGUUAAACAGUACGUGAAAUUGUUAAAAGGGAAACGAUUGAAGUCAGUCGUGCUCUCUGGGACUCAGCCGGUUCUUCCGGUGUAUUUCCCAGUGAGCGGGUCAACAUCAGUUUAGAUCGCUGGAUAAGGUCAUUAGGAAUGUGGCUCCCUCGGGAGUGUUAUAGCCUAGUGUCGCAUACAGUGGUUUAGACUGAGGAACGCAGCUCGCCUUUAUGGCCGGGGUUCGCCCACGUCCGAGCUAGGAUGUGACA